rnacentral:snRNA from 1 species
AGUGCAAAUAUUAAAGCG